rnacentral:lncRNA from 1 species
GAUUAGGAAAUGGAUGGGAAAUUGGUACGAUAGGAGUAAUCGGCCUUUAUGACAGACAAACCUCGAUCCCACUCUUUUAUAAUCCCAACCAUUCUUAGUUUUUUAGCUCCAAUGUGUCUACCCCCUGAGUUUCUGUCCUUUUUGUUUGUACCUUGGAGAGAGUAUACUAAUCUGUUAACCUGUUCUCUUGCCAGGAAUCACAUGGGAGCUCACUCGCUUAAGACUUCAAUCAAUGAAGUUCGAUCUUUAGCAUACUCGCCGG